CCUACGGGCGGCUGCAGUGGGGAAUUUUGGACAAUGGGGGCAACCCUGAUCCAGCCAUUCCGCGUGAGUGAAGAAGGCCUUCGGGUUGUAAAGCUCUUUUGUCCGGAGCGAAACGGGCGGCCCUAAUACGGUCGUCUACUGACGGUACCGGAAGAAUAAGCACCGGCUAACUACGUGCCAGCAGCCGCGGUAAUACGUAGGGUGCGAGCGUGGCUCGGAAUGACUGGGCGUAAAGCUGUAACAGAGGUGUGAAAUCCCCGGGCUCAACCUGGGAAUGGCAGUUGGGACUGCAAGGCUGGAGUGUGGCAGAGGGGACUAGAAUUCCUGGUGUAGCAGUGAAAUGCGUAGAUAUCAGGAGGAAUACCGAUGGCGAAGGCAGGUCCCUGGGUUAACACUGACGCUCAUGCACGAAAGCGUGGGGAGCAAACAGGAUUAGAUACCCGAGUAGUC
rnacentral:rRNA from 1 species